rnacentral:rRNA from 1 species
ACAUGCAAGUCGAGCGGACGGAUGGGAGCUUGCUCCCUGAAGUCAGCGGCGGACGGGUGAGUAACACGUGGGCAACCUGCCUGUAAGACUGGGAUAACUUCGGGAAACCGGAGCUAAUACCGGAUAAUGCACAGCCUCUCAUGAGGCUAUGCUGAAAGAUGGUUUCGGCUAUCACUUACAGAUGGGCCCGCGGCGCAUUAGCUAGUUGGUGAGGUAACGGCUCACCAAGGCAACGAUGCGUAGCCGACCUGAGAGGGUGAUCGGCCACACUGGGACUGAGACACGGCCCAGACUCCUACGGGAGGCAGCAGUAGGGAAUCUUCCGCAAUGGACGAAAGUCUGACGGAGCAACGCCGCGUGAGUGAUGAAGGUUUUCGGAUCGUAAAACUCUGUUGUCAGGGAAGAACAAGUGCCGGAGUAACUGCCGGCACCUUGACGGUACCUGACCAGAAAGCCACGGCUAACUACGUGCCAGCAGCCGCGGUAAUACGUAGGUGGCAAGCGUUGUCCGGAAUUAUUGGGCGUAAAGCGCGCGCAGGCGGUCUCUUAAGUCUGAUGUGAAAGCCCACGGCUCAACCGUGGAGGGUCAUUGGAAACUGGGGGACUUGAGUGCAGAAGAGGAAAGUGGAAUUCCACGUGUAGCGGUGAAAUGCGUAGAGAUGUGGAGGAACACCAGUGGCGAAGGCGACUUUCUGGUCUGUAACUGACGCUGAGGCGCGAAAGCGUGGGGAGCAAACAGGAUUAGAUACCCUGGUAGUCCACGCCGUAAACGAUGAGUGCUAAGUGUUAGAGGGUUUCCGCCCUUUAGUGCUGCAGCAAACGCAUUAAGCACUCCGCCUGGGGAGUACGGCCGCAAGGCUGAAACUCAAAGGAAUUGA